GAUGAACGCUGGCGGCGUGCCUAAUACAUGCAAGUCGAGCGAAUGGAUUAAGAGCUUGCUCUUAUGAAGUUAGCGGCGGACGGGUGAGUAACACGUGGUUAACCUGCCCAUAAGACUAGGAUAACUCCGGGAAACCGGGGCUAAUACCGGAUAACAUUUUGAACCGCAUGGUUCGAAAUUGAAAGGCGGCUUCGGCUGUCACUUAUGGAUGGAGCCGCGUCGCAUUAGCUAGUUGGUGAGGUAACGGCUCACCAAGGCAACGAUGCGUAGCCGACCUGAGAGGGUGAUCGGCCACACUGGGACUGAGACACGGCCCAGACUCCUACGGGAGGCAGCAGUAGGGAAUCUUCCGCAAUGGACGAAAGUCUGACGGAGCAACGCCGCGUGAGUGAUGAAGGCUUUCGGGUCGUAAAACUCUGUUGUUAGGGAAGAACAAGUGCUAGUUGAAUAAGCUGGCACCUUGACGGUACCUAACCAGAAAGCCACGGCUAACUACGUGCCAGCAGCCGCGGUAA
rnacentral:rRNA from 1 species